rnacentral:rRNA from 1 species
UACGUAGGUGGCAAGCGUUGUCCGGAUUUACUGGGCGUAAAGAGCGCGCAGGCGGUCGUUCAAGUCGCGUGUGAAAGCCCCCGGCUCAACUGGGGAGGGUCACGCGAUACUGUCGGACUAGAGUACAGAAGGGGCAACUGGAAUUCUCGGUGUAGCGGUGAAAUGCGUAGAUAUCGAGAGGAACACCUGCGGCGAAGGCGGGUUGCUGGGCUGAUACUGACGCUGAGGCGCGAAAGCCAGGGGAGCGAACGGG